rnacentral:misc_RNA from 1 species
UCCAAGUCAAAUAUCAAUUAUGUCCCCUUAUAUAAUAUCAUGCAGAUUAAAAAACCAAUGUAAGCCACAGAGGCAAAACCAAUACAAGCCACACACUAAACCAAUCAAGAAAGAACCACAUUACUAAUCCUGCCACAAACUCAUAUGACUCAUCACCUAAAAUUUAUCACUUCACCACAUAAAUCUUAAAAUUCAGUUAUGCAUCAUCAAAAUAUAUGCUAACAAUCCAAAUUCCCAUCUCUUUCUCUAGCAAUUCUAAGCAACCAAUAAAU